rnacentral:sRNA from 1 species
UUUUUAUUUCUUAUGUAGUCAAUUUGGAAAAUGAAGACAGUAUUUGCAAUUUUGUUUUUGACAUUCAUUGCGUUGACAUGCGCAAGAAAUUAUGAAGAUUUGAAAGAAAAAAUUAAAAAUGAAGUUGAAAGAGAAAUAUUUGAAGACCUUGAAGAGGAAAGUGACGAGUUAGAAAAUAACUUUAAAAAAUUUAAUGAUGCAAAACCAUGGACACGAUGGAUUCGAUGGAAGACUAUUGUUCCUUUUAUUCCAGCUGUUAUUGCGGCUGCUGGUAAAAAGUAAUCGAAACAACUAAGAUUUUAAUUGAUACGAUGAAACUUUUUAUUAUAUAAGCUAAUAUAUUUUUUUGAAAUCUUUUUUGUAUUUUUUCUUACUGAGGUUAAUUGUAAUAUUAGAUACUUCGAUUA